AAAAAGAGAGGUAAAAGAAAUCAAUUUAGACAAAAGAACAUUUUUUACCAGACUGACUUAGAAAUUUUAGCGUGCUGAGGAGCUUUUCAAAUGUGGAUACCGGACAGAAUCAUCAUUUAACUUUAAGAAAUUUGUACAUAGUUUCUUUGGACAAGAACAAGAAAACUUAAUAAAAUUAAAGCUUUUUCCUGCAUUCUGUCUACCAAGAAUGUCUCUCUCUGACAUUGCUCCUAACAAUACUAGUAACAAAAGAAAUUUCCUUUUUCAUUAUAUCAAUCUGCAGAGCAUACUCACUAAACAUCUGAACCGACAACUAAAACUCUCAACAAGGACAACAACUUAUACACCUCAAUUCCAAGCUAGCUAAGGUCAGCUAUAUGAAUCUUUAGUUUCCAGUUCGCUUAAUUUGGUCCCAUUUCAUUCUGAUAUUCAAAUGACACUGAUGUUAUUAACUUUGUAUUAUAUCUUUUAUAGAGAUAAAAUAUUCAAGAAUUUCCUGAUCCUCUGUGGACACAAUGAACACUUGAUAUAGUAUAUCAAUCAAAGACUAGAAGUAAAACCAAUAAACACGAUGAAAAGUUAGUGGUGGUAAUCAGCCGAAUGCAAGGCAAAGACACAAUACAUGAAACACCAAAGACAUCCUAAUUAAAACCAUUGGUCCAACUUGCAGGCAUAGACAAUCGAAAUGCCCAUAAACUCCUGCGCUCAACAAAUGUUGGAUAGUGGGAUCAACCAUUUGUAUACUACAUUCGAAAAUAGAAUGUUGAUAAUACUUCUUUUUUUUAUGAAUAGAAUGUUGAUACUACCCGAUUAGAACCAUGUGUUUCUUUUGUACAAAGGGAAGUUAAGAUUCAGACCAUGACAAACACAUCAAAUCUAACAGAAAAAAAAAAGAGUAAAAACUACAGACACUAAACGACCAAAACCACUAAAAUCCAUUUAAUGAUUUGCAUAGAUCUAACCGAAACAUAGCGCUACAUACAAUCGGUCAAGCUUGCUAAAUCUAUAUCAUUCCACUCUCAAACUUCCUAAUCUACACCAGAUCUAACAUAUAAGCCGACAAAUAUCCAAAUCAAAACUUAAAUCACCAAAUAGCACAUGUAUCAACAAAAUAGAAUCCGAUUACAUACUGUAUAACAGCACACAAACUAGAAUCGAGAUCAACAAAGUACACUCAUUUCUAUCUCUAACCUCCAAUAUCACCA